rnacentral:ribozyme from 1 species
UGUCCAGUAACUCCUAUCCCUACCUCCUCGUGGUACCGGCCGGAAACUACGUGCAACCUUAGGGAAGAUCGGGUAACCAACCCAGGUGGGAACUUUGGUCAUAGGUUGACAGGGAAGG